rnacentral:rRNA from 1 species
GUAGUCUGCAACUCGACUACAUGAAGCUGGAAUCGCUAGUAAUCGCAGAUCAGAAUGCUGCGGUGAAUACGUUCCCGGGUCUUGUACACACCGCCCGUCACACCAUGGGAGUCGGGAAUGCCCGAAGUCAGUGACCCAACCGCAAGGAGGGAGCUGCCGAAGGCAGGCUCGAUAACUGGGGUGAAGUCGUAACAAGGUAUC